rnacentral:rRNA from 1 species
UACGUAGGUGGCAAGCGUUGUCCGGAUUUACUGGGCGUAAAGGGAGCGUAGGCGGAUACUUAAGUGGGAUGUGAAAUACCUGGGCUUAACUUGGGUGCUGCAUUCCAAACUGGGUGUCUAGAGUGUUGGAGAGGAAAGUGGAAUUCCUAGUGUAGCGGUGAAAUGCGUAGAGAUUAGGAAGAACACCAGUGGCGAAGGCGACUUUCUGGACAAUAACUGACGCUGAGGCUCGAAAGCGUGGGGAGCAAACAGGAUUAGAUACCCUGGUAGUCCACGCCGUAAACGAUGGGUAAUAGGUGUAGGAGGUAUAGACUCAUCCUGUGCCGCCGUUAACACAAUAAGUACCCCGCCUGGGGAGUACGGUCGCAAGAUUAAA